AAUUAAAGUAAUAUACAUAACCACCAAUUUUUCCAACAUGGAGCAUGAAAAGUGCAUAGGUCUAACUUGCAGGCAUAAAACAGUGUGUCAUGUCUCAUUUCAUAGAUCAAUCAAUAAAAACAGAGGAUUUUUAACUUUAAGGGCAGAGGUAGUAUAUACCCAAAAAGAAAACUUAUCAGAGAUGGAGAGGAGUCUGAGUGCCAACGAUGGCCGCUUGGAUUACCAACGACUGGAACACGGUUCAAAAUGCACAGAGACAAAAAGGAGUUCUAAUCCUGUAAAAUUUCAAAUCUCUCUCGUACUUCCUCUAUGUUUGUGAACUCAUUUCCUUUUUUGUCUGUUCCAAAAAUAAUGAAUUCUUUCUAAAUUUGGUAACAAUUUAGCUUAAAAUUACAACUUUAUCCUUAAUGAGAAGCUUUUAUAACCACACAAAUACUCUGGGCUCCAUUUAGACUUGUCUAGGACAACAAAUUACAAACUCUUCAUUUUUUUCUUAAACUUGUGCACAUAAAUUGAAACGGAGGCAGUAUCAGAUAUCUAACAGCGGUUUUUAUCCCAGAUGAUCUCCUGAAACUGAUAAAAAAAAAAUUCCAUCUCAAGCAUCAAAUCAGAUAGUUGCUUUAAUCAUUUUGUUUCUAGCUAGAGAUGUUUGCACCAAUCAAGGGGAUCAUAUCACCCUAAUAGAGUUGCUAUUUACAUGACCAGAAAGAGAAAUCAGAAAUACUUGAUUACGCAUGUUUUCCCUAAGCGAGUUGCUCCUUCCUGAUCCCUUUGCAAAAAGGUGCUCACAAAAAUCCGGUGGCUCUUCAAAAAUAGAUGGUCUUUCAUUAGAGGCCAUGUUGCAUCCCGCCUUUGCUAAACCAUCAGCCACCUCAUUCCCCUCUCUAUAGGUAUGUGCAAUGGUAACACUAUGCAGUUGGUCCAAGAGGUACCUGCAAUCAGUGAGUAUAUUAGUAUAAAUGAUGUUGUCCUUUUUUAACAUUGUAAGUACCUCUGAUGCAUCGAUGUUUAUUUCCAGCGGGACCAAAUUGUAUCUGUUUGUCAAUUUCAGUCCAUGGAAUAGGGCCUUUAGUUCUGCCUGGAUGAUGGUGGCAUUGUCCAAAUUGCCUGCAAAACCUAUAAUCUAAUUUCCAUUUGAAUCGCGUAUGGUUCCUCUUAUACCUGCUUUCUGAGUUAACGUUGAUAUAGCUCCAUCCGUAUUUAAUUUGUAGUAGUUUGGUUUAGGGGGUAUCCAUUUGAUAGGUUGCAUUAUAGGGAUUUUGGUUGUUGCUACCUUUGCAGCUAAAUAGGUAAAUUUCAGUGCAUGGUUAGUAAUUUUUUUUAAGUGAUAUGUGUUGUUGUGUAUUAUUAAAAUUGUGAUUGUUAUGAUUAAUCCAAAUAUCCCAUAAUGUGUACGAAAUAAAAGUUUUGCUAUUUAUACGGUAAGGCAUGUUGUUGUACUUUGUAAUAAUGAGUUUCAUUAACCAACCUGAUGGAUGAGAGUAUGUAGUUAUAUUGUUGAUAAAGUUUGGUAUACCAAGUCAUUCCAUAUAUGUUUUAUGUUAGAACAUUCUAAAAAUAUAUGAUUAAUAGUUUCCAGAUCUAUAUUACAUAUUUGACAUCGGUCAUCUACUGUGAUUCCUAUAUGAUUUAGGUAUUUUUUUGUUGGCAACCUGUUAUGCAUUACAAGCCAAAGGAAUAUUUUUAUUUUGGGUGGUAUUUGAAUCUUCCAAAUCCAAUUAUAAGUGGAUGUGUGUUGUUGUAAUUUUAAAUCCUGCUGUAGUAAUUGUGAAUACAUUGAUUGGACAGUAAAUUUACCAUUGUUGGAUAGUCCCCAAGAGAUA